GUAGAGAAAAGGAAGUCCCUCACAGUAACCGGCACCAUAAUCAAGACAGAAUGUUUUCAGAAUAAAUUGAGUUAUCUGCUUUCAGCCCCAGGUGGUAGCUGUUCUCUGCCCUGAUGAUAUGUGAUAAUAAUUUGUGAUCCUCAUGUCUUAAAAUGGAGUCACUUAUCUCCAGUAGAAUUAAGUCUACAGUGAGGGGUUGUCCCCUCAUCCCCAAAGAGAUGAACACAUGAAUGGGCUGAGGUGAUAACAAUUAUUGCUGCCUGAGAUCAUGAGAGACCUGAAGUGAACUGAUAGGAAGUGAAAGGUGGCUGAGAACCAGAGAAUGGACCCAUCUGCAGAGGAUCAUAAAACCAGCAGAGACAAGAUCUUGUCUAAGAUGUGUUCAGAAGCUUUGUCCAUGAGAACUGCAAGGACUUAUUCACACCUGGUGGCUGCUGCUAUGAUCUCUGCCCCAAAGGAACAUCUGACCAGCAUCCAAAGGGCUUCUGGACCCACUGGAUUCCUCUGGAGGAGGCAAAGGAGGACCAAUGACUGGAAUAGCAAAGAACUCCAGGAUUCAUGAUGAACUAAUUGCUAGAGCAAAAAUAUACAAGAUCUCUCUAACUUAUAAUGGGGAAGGGGUAACAGAAGUUGGAUGAGACAAUACCCAAACGUGAUUUCCAGGUUUACUGAACCCAAACUGAACAAUGGAAGACUGUAGAUGACACCAUUAAGAUUUCUCAAGAAUAUGGAAGAUUAUUAUUCACUUCUGAUGGGACCUUAUAGGGCUUUGGAGUCUGACCCUUCUGAUCAUCCAGGAGCAAAGAAAUCUCAAGCAGAUGCACAAGAAAUAGGAGAAAACAGCGAUACAAACCAUAUAGAUACGUAUUUUUUUUCUUUGAAAUGCAACUCGUGCUCGACGAUUUUCCUGGACGACAGCACAGCCAGCUGCCCUCAUUUUAAAAUGACACUAAAAUCGUGAGUACAACUCUACUGCCAAGGGACAGAUUAAAAUUAUUUCAGCCAUUUGUUUGUCCUCUUCAAUCCGUUUAA
rnacentral:lncRNA from 1 species